AAACGUUAUUGCAAACUCCAUUGAAGAGACUGUUGUCCAACACCUCAGAAGAUCGUGCAAGAGUUGUAAUAUCAAACCUACAAUAUCUGCAUACUUGACGAUCAAUAAAGAAAUUUAAGGAAAUGACCUUUCUCCUCAAAAAACAAUGCUUAAUCUACUGUUAACCAAGAUUUUCCAAGAUGGCUCUUUACAUGGAAUGGAAUCUUCUUCGGCUCCAUCACAUGAUUUUCCACCGAAGAGCGAAGGUUGUUUGACGGUUCGGUGACGCAGCUGGUGGUGGAUUUAAAUAU